GUUGACAAUCUUGAAAGUGCGGGUGAUGUUGAUCUGUCCAUAGUGGUAGGAUCCUUGAGGGUUGGGGCGGGCAGCACUAGCAGUAAGGUUCCAUCUGAAGGAGCGAAACUGGUUAAUGGACCAAGCAAUGCCUUGGGUGUUUUCUGGUGGAGGUGCUGGGAGGUCAGAAGAUGCUGGUCCCUUGCCAUUGGCAUAUCGAAUGAUAGCAACGGAAGAGAGUUGCGCUUGCUUCAGGAACCUACUAGAAACAAUCAUGUAAUAGUCCUUGGGCUCUUGAUCAGCAGUGACCAACACCGAAAGGCAUUGACCAACAUGGAGGUCAAGGGACUCAUAGACGUUCUGCACAGUGUGGGAUCCCUCCAUUUCCACCAACUUCAUGGGGUGGCCUUGAAUCCUGACGUUGACUGAUGUCCUCAUGCCAGCAUUGCACAUCCUGUACCUAUAGGUCUUGCCAGCCUCCAUGGUG
rnacentral:lncRNA from 1 species